AUUGAACGCUGGCGGCAGGCCUAACACAUGCAAGUCGAGCGGAUGAAGGGAGCUUGCUCCUGGAUUCAGCGGCGGACGGGUGAGUAAUGCCUAGGGAUCUGCCUGGUAGUGGGGGAUAACGUCCGGAAACGGGCGCUAAUACCGCAUACGUCCUGAGGGAGAAAGUGGGGGAUCUUCGGACCUCACGCUAUCAGAUGAGCCUAGGUCGGAUUAGUUAGUUGGUGGGGUAAAGGCCUACCAAGGCGACGAUCCGUAACUGGUCUGAGAGGAUGAUCAGUCACACUGGAACUGAGACACGGUCCAGACUCCUACGGGAGGCAGCAGUGGGGAAUAUUGGACAAUGGGCGAAAGCCUGAUCCAGCCAUGCCGCGUGUGUGAAGAAGGUCUUCGGAUUGUAAAGCACUUUAAGUUGGGAGGAAGGGCAGUAAGUUAAUACCUUGCUGUUUUGACGUUACCAACAGAAUAAGCACCGGCUAACUUCGUG
rnacentral:rRNA from 1 species